rnacentral:rRNA from 1 species
AUUGAACGCUGGCGGCGUGCCUAACACAUGCAAGUCGAGCGGUAACAGGUGUAGCAAUACAUGCUGACGAGCGGCGGACGGGUGAGUAACGCUUGGGAAUCUGCCUAUUAGUGGGGGACAACCCGGGAAACGUCGGGCUAAUACCGCAUACGCACUACGGUGGAAAGCCGGGGACCGCAAGGCCUGGCGCUAACAGAUGAGCCCAAGUCGGAUUAGCUAGUUGGUAGGGUAACGGCCUACCAAGGCGACGAUCCGUAACUGGUCUGAGAGGACGACCAGUCACACCGGAACUGAGACACGGUCCGGACUCCUACGGGAGGCAGCAGUGGGGAAUAUUGGACAAUGGGCGAAAGCCUGAUCCAGCGACGCCGCGUGGGUGAAGAAGGCCUGCGGGUUGUAAAGCCCUUUCAGUGGGGAAGAAAAGCCUCGAGCUAACACCUCGGGGUCUUGACGUAACCCAUAGAAGAAGCACCGGCUAACUCUGUGCCAGCAGCAGCCG